rnacentral:rRNA from 1 species
GACGAACGCUGGCGGCGUGCCUAACACAUGCAAGUCGAACGAACAGGCGCUGCGUUUGUGCCGUGCUCGUUUGCCGCGCGGGGGUGUGUCACGCGUGUAACAUCUCCCUGUCUUUCGGAUAUCAUCUCGGAACACGGGCUAUAAUAGCAUAUAAUAUCUUGCUGCACGUGGGUGGAUGGAAAAAGUCGGCUGUUGUGGAUCGUCUCGCGGCUUACCAGCUUGAUGGGGGGGUUGUGGCUUACCAGGGUUGUGACGGGUAGGCGGCCUAAGAGGGUGACCGGCGACAAUGGGACUGAGAGAGGGCCCAGACUGCUACGGGAGGCAGCAGGGGGGAAUAUUGCACAAUGGGCGGAAGCCUGAUGCAGCAACGCCGCGUGCGGGAUGACGGCUUUUGGGGUGUAAACCGCUUUCGCCUGUGACGAAGCGUGAGUGACGGUAAUGGGUAAAGAAGCACCGGCUAACUACGUG